CCCACAUUCACCUUUUCAAAGCACUGUCCCUCCAAACCUCCAAACAUCUGUUAUAAAUUCAAACUUCUGCAUCAAACCACUGCCCAUUCAAAAUUUUGGCUCCAUAUUCAAAAUCUCUGCCCACAUCCAAAAUUAUGGCUCCAUAUUCAAAAUUCAAAAUUGUGACUCCACAUAUAUAUAAGAUAAUUAUUAAGACUUCACAUUCAAAAUUCAAACCACAGUGCAUCUCUCCCAGUUCCGAUACCGAUAGAAAAAUCCCAAUUCUUCAAGCAUGUCGGAAGCCAAGGAGGUGUUUGAUAACUUAAUCAUCAGAUCUUCGACGCAGACCAGUGUGCGAAUUCAGAAGAUUAAGAGCACACAGGAUGCGAUUAGGAGGCUACAACGGGAAGAAGAGGCGAUUACGAAGGCAAAGAAGUCGGUGAAGAAGUUUACCGAGAAAGAUGAUGAACAGUCUGACGGUAUAUUGCGUCCCAGAGAUUAUCUGAUGAUUCAUCAUCGUAUUCAUCGGGUUUAGAUGAGGAAUCAAGAUUUGAAUCAAGAAUAUGUAGAUGAGGAAUCAAGAUAGAGUGGCUGAUUCAACAGAGAUUCCAGCAACCCAAAAAUGGAUCAGGUGGCGGUUCGUGUUCAUAAGUCAUAUGUUAAUUGAAUAUUUGGAUGCUAUGCAGUUAUUAUCGACGAUAUAUCGGUUAUCGAUUACAAACAAGUUGCUUCCUUAAUCGCUCUGGCACUACAGAUUAACAGCUUGACCUUGGAAGGCUCUUAUCAACCAAAUUCUUAAAGUUAGAUUAUCUACAAAAUCUAAAAUCUUGAAGUAGCAAAACAGAAGGAAACAAAUACAAAUAAACACGCGCAUAAAUUCAAAUCUUGAUAGGUUUAUGUUGAAUCUCUGCAAUAUAUCUGAAUAAUCGUAUUGAGAAAUGUCGCUUCUACCAAAAGGCGAUUCUAUUCAGAUUCGCGAGGUAUGCAAUGACAAUCUGGAAGAAGAAUUCACGUUGAUUCGAGGUAUUGUUGAUGAUUUUCCGUACGUAGCAAUGGACACCGAGUUUCCAGGGAUUGUUCUUCGCCCCGUUGGUAAUUUUAAAAACAAUAGCGAUUAUCAUUCUCAAGUCGGUCAUAAUUCUCUCGUAUUCUCCGAUCCAGCAGCCUAUUCGCUGCAGUACAAAAGCAACCAAUGAUGGGUGCGGUUACCUAUCCGACCGGCUGGCCCUGUCCGAUUACGAAAACAUUGGUUUUAAGGACUGCGCAAACAAAACUUGAAUCUCGAGCUUUCAGGACUGCGAAUAAACUUCUGCAAGUGAACGUUAAUGCAGCGUAGUUCUGGGCUAUUCAGCAGCGAAUGAUUACUGGAUUCUGCAGCGAAUAUGUUCUUUAAUUCUGCACAGCGAAAGAAAGUGUUUCAGUGAACGAAUAGUUCUACGGAUGAACUAAACAACGACUGGACAGUUUUGCGAAUAAGCAACUCUCUGCAAAAGAACUGAUUCAGCUUUCAGGUCUGCGUAACAAUGUCAAUUCAGAUUCAAAUUCAGUUCGUUUAAACCCGGUUGUCGGAAACUUCUACGCAAGGACUUGACGAGUCUAUGAACGAGUGAAUAUUUGCCCAUGAUUGAUGAGGUGUAUGGAUUACUCAUAGAGAAAACAAAAUCGACACCAGGGGCAAAAGUGGAAAACAAUAAGUUUUGUUUGUCUGUGCAUUUCCGAUGCGUUGAAGAGAAGAAAUGGAGCGAGUUAGCUGCCCAAGGGAGAUCAGUGCUCAAACACUACCCGAAGCUCCGGUUCUCCCAAAGAAGGAAGGUGUUGGAGAUGAGGCGCACAAUCAAGUGGGACAAAGGCAAGGCUCUUGAGUAUUUGUUAGAGUCACUUGGUAUGUCGUCGUUCUGUCUGUUCCUGGUAAUUAGUUUAGUUAUGUAAAUUGCUUUAUCUAAUAAAACUAGGUUAUAACCUCGUGUAUUACACGGGUUGAAUAAAUAAAUUUUAUAUACUAAAUAAUAAAACAAUAUAUCUUUAAAAACCUCCUUUAUUGCACGGGUUGAAUAAAUAUAAUUUUAUAUAUUAAAUAAUAAAGUUAUAUCUAUAAGAACCAUAUUGUACAGGUUGAAUAAAUGUAAUUUUAUAUAUCAAAUAAUAAAAAAGUUAUAUCUUUAAAACCACGUGUAUUACAUGGGUUGAAUAAAUGUAAUAAUGUUUAUCAAAUAAUAAAAAAAAGUUAUAUGUUUAAAACCCUCGUGUAUUACACGACUUGAAUAAAAAUGAUUUUAUAUACCAAAAAAUAAGAAAAUUAUAUUUAAAAAAAACUAAUAGGUAUAAUCGGUACACGAUAGAUAUGGUGAUUGCGGAGAUAAUUAUUGAAAAGAAACUACAGUGGUCAAACAUGUUAUUCAAGAAGCAAAUAAACAGCCAUUUGAGUGAUAAAAUAUAAAUUACAUUUAAAAAGCCCGUAAUAAAUAUAAUUUUAUAUAUAAAGUAAUAUUGAAAUUAUAUACAAUUUGUUUAAAAUUAUGUAAUAAAAUAGAUAUAAUAUUUUUUUUAAUAAUGAAAAUAAAAAUAAAUAAUAUAUUAAUACAAAGUUUGAUUUUAGUGAUAAAUAAUUUGGUUAUUUAAAAAUAUCUUAAAUUAACAAUUUAAAUUUAAGAAUAAUAUUUUAUUAGAAAAAUAUAAGUAUUCUAUUCGACAUUUAAAGUAGAAUAAGAUUUAAUAUUAAUUUUUGUUUAUUUGGUAAUCGAACAGAAUAAGAGUAAAUUUGUAUAUUACAAAUAAAAGUAUGUGUUUGUCAUAUGAUAUAGAAACUCAAAUAAAUUAUAUUAUACAUAAGAAGUAUAUAUUAAAUUUAAAUUAAAUAAUAAUUAUCUAUAGUUAACUAGAAGAGAUUAAACAAAAUAAUAUUUAGUAGAAGAGUUAUCUAUAAUUAUUUAGAACAGAUUAAAUUAAAUAAUAAUUAUCUAUAAGAUAUUAAACUAAAUAAUAUUUCAUAGGAGGGUUAUCCAUAAUUAAUAAGAAGAGAUUAAACUUAAAUAAUAAUUAUCUAUAAGACAUGGGAUAAUAUGAUGACAAGUGUCCCAAAGUUGGUUUCUUUUAUUAUAUAGUAUAGAUUCAUUAUGGGUUGAGCAAAUAGAAGGGUUAGUGAAGAUAAUUGAGGCGUUGAUAAAAAAGCAAGAUGAGCAGUUUUCGGUUUUGGUGGGAAUAGUUGGUAUAGAUGUGGCGAGAGAUAAGGCGGCAGCUGAUAAAA